AUUGAACGCUGGCGGCAGGCCUAACACAUGCAAGUCGAACGAGUGGCGGACGGGUGAGUAAUGUCUGGGAAACUGCCCGAUGGAGGGGGAUAACUACUGGAAACGGUAGCUAAUACCGCAUACUAUCAGAUGUGCCCAUAUGGGAUUAGCUAGUUGGUGGGGUAACGGCUCACCAAGGCGACGAUCCGUAGCUGGUCUGAGAGGACGACCAGCCACACUGGAACUGAGACACGGUCCAGACUCCUACGGGAGGCAGCAGUGGGGAAUAUUGCACAAUGGGGGAAACCCUGAUCCAGCCAUGCCGCGUGUAUGAAGAAGGCCUUCGGGUUGUAAAGUACUUUCAGCAGGGAAGCGUUACCCGCAGAAGAAGCACCGGCUAACUCCGUGCCAGCAGCCGCGGUAAUUC
rnacentral:rRNA from 1 species